GUGUGGCGGACGGAAGUGUCCAGCUGCGGCUGCAUAUCCUGCAAGAUUAGAGAACAGCCCUUUGUCUUGUUCAUUAGGUGGUCUAUCUUCCCCACCACCCAUUUUAUUUCAACUUGAUAUUUUCUUCACAAAACUGCAUUUUGGAAUUUGGAUAUUAAAUAUAUGAUUAUAGAAGUAGUCUAGUUGUACAAGAAGAAUUAUAACUCUACAAAUCAAUUAAAAAUAUUAUUAUUAUAUAUAAUAUCAAAAAUCAUAGAUUUCACAUAGUUGAAUGUAUUUAGCAAUAUGAAGGUUGUAUUUCUCAACAAACAUCUUUUUUUAAUUUAGAAACAAUAAAAAAAUAAAAUAAAAAAUAAGGUUUUUGUGGUGAGACAAUUGAAAAAGCAAUCUCAGUUUGCAAGGAGUUAUUGCGAAAUCGGUGGUCAGUUUCUGUGUAAAGAUCAAAAAGUUGUUCAUUUUAUUAUAUAUGAUGAAGGGUAACAUUUUUGUCAUUUUUGACAUGUUUGUCAUUAUCCAUAUAAAAAAUUAUGAAAGUAGCUCAUGGAGCCUUAUCCUGAUCUCAGCAAUUUUGAUUAAUAUUCUAAGUUUCUAACCACUCCAAUGGACUUAUAUGAAGGGUACCUUUCUUUUCGUUCAAAAAAUGUUCCUCAACAAAACAAUUCAAAUAUAUCCAUAAGCUGAAAUCUAAUAGGGAUUUAAUAAUAUAACCAUUCGCUCUACAUUCUAUGUAAUUUCAUGGCUAUUAUCCUUACAGAGGAAGUAAAGGGACGAAAUUUAAUAGGAAAUACCAAAAGAACAAGUACAGAAACACACAGUACACAUUUAUUGCACAAAUAAAUAUCUUCAAUCAAUCUUUACCAAUAAACAAACAUAAAUCAGAAUCUUAGACAAACACAAGAGGAAGAGGAAAGUUCAUCCACAAAACGAUCCAAAUUUUACAUCGGCUAAAAUCUAAUAGCGAUUUAAUGCUAAUCAUUCGCAGCAAUCGAUGUAAAUUCAUGGCUAUGAUAUUAUUUUGACCAACGAAAUUAAAGAAAAAAACCAAAAGUACAAGCGCACGAACACACAGUGCACGUUUAUUGCACAAACAGAGAUCUUCGAUCAAGCAAGUUUAAACAAUCAAUCGAUCUUUACGAAUAAAGAAACAUAAAUCACAAUCUUCGAAAAAAACAAGAAGAAAAUCACGUCUCUUCAUAAAAUCUGAACAGCAUGCGCUAGGGUUUUGAUUCAAUGAAUUAGAACAGGUAUAUAAUUAUUAGAGUAAAAUCAACAUGCAUUAUAGUGUGAUGAUUGUAAAAAUUUCGAAGAACAUAUUAAAGAGAGAAUGAAAACUGACCGAAAUUGACAAGAUAAUAAGAUUUGGAGAACGUAGACUUCUUGAAAUUGAAUUCAACAACAGAGAAAACCCUGGUCCUUGAACGUUCGAAGAUUUACGAAGGUAAGGGAAGAGAGAGAUACGCGCGUUAUAAAAAGAUGACGCAUUGGGAAAAAAGCAUAGGUUGCGUGAACGAAUUGGAUUCACGCGUUGCUUAGACGCGUGUGGCUUUUUGAGAAAUUUUGUAUGACGAGUCGAUA
rnacentral:lncRNA from 1 species